CAUACUGCCUCAUGAAAUACUCGA
rnacentral:piRNA from 1 species